UAUGAGUUUUUAUGUUGUUAUAGAAAAUGCAUUGUACACUGUAAAAAGUCAUUCUUUAGGAUUGUAGAUUUCAAUGAAUGUAUUAUGUAAACUUUAUUAAACAAAAUUAAUUUCUUGAUUUUUAAAAGAUUUUUUGAGUUAAAACCAUUCAUGACAGGAAUGACAAGAAUUAACGUAAUUUAUGUUGUUAAAGAGAGAAAAUUGAAUAAAUCCAACAUGAUUGAAAUGAGCUCUUUUUAAUUUACAAACAUUUCCUGUUACAACGCGCGGUUUAAUCAGCUCCUGAGCGGGAGACACGUGUGCUGGAGUUCCCGCUGACAACCUGGAGGCAAAGCUAAUUGUCGCUCUUUUUCAGUUGAUUUCACAAAGAAUUGCAGAAUAGAAUUUAAGAACAACAAUGAAAAGAUUGACAACACAAAAUCAUUAAUCAAUUUCCAAGUGUGCAAGACAUAAAAGAGCGAUGGCCAGCCAGAUGGUUUCAGCUUUCUCAAUGUUCUGUCGAUAUGAUGAGAGGUGGUCAUCAGCUGCAUUCUAGAAUUCCUUGGGGAACAUAAAGGAAACCUCAAAGAACUUUGCAAAGACAAUGAACAUCAGACAGAAAAUGAACAGCGCUUGUGAUGGCUGUAGUUGUGACAGGAGCUUCCAGUGACAGUCCAAAGGACAUUGGAAUUGUUAUCAAGGGGAGAAAAUUGUUACAGGCCUGCUUGCUGUGUCCUCCUUGGUUUGAUGUAUGCACUGAUUCUCCAUUAUCCCAGACUAAAAUCAAAGUAUACCUUUUAGGACCAGUGGUGGCCAAAAUUAUUAAAACAAUAGUAUUUUCACCAGCUAAAAAAUGUA